AGGGGCGUGGUGAAGUGGUAUCACGAAGGUCUCCAAAACCUCAGUCGGGGGUUCGAUUCCCUCCGCCCCUGCCA
rnacentral:tRNA from 1 species